rnacentral:lncRNA from 1 species
CCGCGUCCUAGCUAAGAAACUCCUAGAAAUUAGAAUACUGACAAAUAAUAUUUUGUGUCAAAUUGUAGCUUUGGAAGUCAUUUUACAUAAUAAGAUAUUAGACUUGCUCCUAGUCACCAGUUUAGCUGCACUCUCCUUCCAUGCAAUGAGCCUCAUCUGCUAGCCUAUAUCAUCAUUUAUCUCCAUCUCUGUACAUGGUCCAGUCAAUAUUUAUGGCCUUUGAGUUUUUUCCUUUAAAGUUGUAAGAGUUAUCAUUUCACACCUUAGUGUGAUUUCUUUGGGGGGCAUUUAAGAGUAAAGUUGGAAGCCAUACACAGCAUAAGGAAUAUAAGAAACAAGAUAAGAGCAAGUAGAGUGCAGAAGAAGGAGAGAGCUCAAAAGUUGGUGCUGAAACAGGGAAACUCAUUGCCUUGGUUUUUCUUUAAUCAGGUACUUGCUCGAUAUCCCAGCUUUUUUAACUCUAUCACAUGAAGCAUAAAGCAUAAUGUAUGAGUUACAGAGUCUAGCAUAUAUAAUUUAGAAACUGUAAUUAAACAUUGUUUUGGACCGGGCAACAUGAAUAUUGUUUGGGAUAAUGUUGUUUAUAUUUUGUAAAGCUUCGUGGUGAUUAAGGAGGUACAUUAUUUUCUGCAUUAUCAAAUAAUGUUUUCUUGUUAGUUCUAGAGUUGAGUUGUUUUUAUUUUUGUUUAUAUUUUAAGAAAUAUUUGUAACAUGUGAUAUGAAAAUAUCCUGCAAAUUGUGCCAAUGAGUACAAGAGAAUCCCAGCCGGGUUGCCACAUAGAAAUGCGUGAUACGAAACUGUUCUCUCUUUUUAUCCAUUGGAGCACAGCAAAGGGCGGGCAAAGCUGGGCCAUGUCUGGACGGUGACUCUUUC